AACGAACGCUGGCGGCAUGCCUAACACAUGCAAGUCGAACGAGACCUUCGGGUCUAGUGGCGCACGGGUGCGUAACGCGUGGGAACCUGCCCUUAGGUUCGGAAUAACUCCCCGAAAGGGGUGCUAAUACCGGAUAAUGUCUUCGGACCAAAGAUUUAUCGCCUUUGGAUGGGCCCGCGUUGGAUUAGCUAGUUGGUAGGGUAAAAGCCUACCAAGGCGACGAUACAUAGCUGGUCUGAGAGGAUGAUCAGCCACACUGGGACUGAGACACGGCCCAGACUCCUACGGGAGGCAGCAGUGGGGAAUAUUGGACAAUGGGCGAGAGCCUGAUCCAGCAAUGCCGCGUGAGUGAUGAAGGCCUUAGGGUUGUAAAGCUCUUUUACCCGGGAUGAUAAUGACAGUACCGGGAGAAUAAGCUCCGGCUAACUCCGUG
rnacentral:rRNA from 1 species